rnacentral:rRNA from 1 species
GACAGAGGGUGCAAACGUUGUUCGGAAUUACUGGGCGUAAAGCGCGUGUAGGCAGCUGUGCAAGUCGGAUGUGAAAGCCCUGGGCUCAACCCAGGAAGUGCAUUCGAUACUGCGCAGCUCGAGUCCCGGAGAGGGUGGUGGAAUUCUCGGUGUAGAGGUGAAAUUCGUAGAUAUCGAGAGGAACACCUGUGGCGAAGGCGGCCACCUGGACGGCGACUGACGCUGAGACGCGAAAGCGUGGGGAGCAAACAGG